AUUGAACGCUGGCGGCAGGCCUAACACAUGCAAGUCGAACGAGUGGCGGACGGGUGAGUAAUGUCUGGGAAACUGCCUGAUGGAGGGGGAUAACUACUGGAAACGGUAGCUAAUAACGAAUACCAUCGGAUGUGCCCAGAUGGGAUUAGCUAGUAGGUGGGGUAAAGGCUCACAUAGGCGACGAUCCCUAGCUGGUCUGAGAGGAUGACCAGCCAAACGGGAACUGAGACACGGUCCAGACUCCUACGGGAGGCAUCAGUUGGGAAUAUUGCACAAUGGGGGAAAGCCUGAGGCAGCAAUGCCGCGUGGAUGAAGAAGGCCUUCGGGUUGUAAAGUACUUUCAGCGGGGAGGCGUUACCCGCAGAAGAAGCACCGGCUAACUCCGUGCCAGCAGCCGCGGUAAUAC
rnacentral:rRNA from 1 species